rnacentral:rRNA from 1 species
AUGGCAGAAGCUUCAACAUACACUACCAUUAUGCAACUAUUCCACGAUUGGGAAAUCCAUGCAUUGAUUCUCUUGAGCUUUGUCCUGCAACUAUUCCUCUUCUUCUCCGGCGGCCUUCGGCGCCGCCACAGCCAUAUGCUGCUUACAAUCAUGAUAUGGUUGUCUUACCUAUCAGGUGAUUUCAUAGCAGCAUAUGCACUAGGCCACCUUUCAGUCAAUUUGCCUACCACUUCCACCACAGAUGACAAUGAUCAUCAUAAACCAGCCCAUCAGCUCACUCUCUUGUGGGCACCUUUCCUUCUUAGCCACCUUGGAGGACAGGACACUGUGACUGCUUUUUCAUUGGAGGACAAUGAGCUGUGGUUGAGGCAUCUGCUGAACCUUCUAGGCCAAGCAUGCCUAGUUGUGUAUGUGUUGUGGAAAUGGGCGGCAUUGGCACACUACCAACUUGUAAUCCCGGCUGCAUUGUUAUUCAUUGCCGGGAUCAUCAAGUAUGGGGAGAGGAUUUGGGCACUCAAGUUGGGAAGCCAGAAAGGCCUCAGGACCUCCACUAGCAGAGAAGCAAAGAAGGCAUCCCUUGAAGUAGAGGACAGUGAAAACAAUGUGCAGGCCUAUCAAGCAAUUGUUAGGUAUGCUGCUCUUCACACAGAGCGAGGCUUGCGGGAUAUAUUUGCUGGACGAAAACUCUUCGACAUGGACGAGCAAACUCUGGAAAAAAUUGGCGAGGCUUCGGGAGAUGUACAAACGGUUUUCAAGAGGGUGGAGAUUGAGCUUAGCAUAAUGUAUGACGGCUUCUUCACGAAAUCCCGGGUAAUUCAAACAAUGCCCGGUGCCAUCCUUUGGUGUGUCUCCCUCGCCUCCACAGUGGUUGCCUUUGUGCUCUACGUCAAGAUGAUGAUGACUAGUAGUGCCGAUGCCGAGAAAACGGAGAAAGAGUAUAAAAGAAGUAGAGUUGAUGCUGCGAUCACCUAUAUAUUAUUCAUUGGAGCAUUUUGCUUGGAAGCUUGCUCGUUCUUCAUGGUGAUGAUGUCACCAUGGGAGUGGCCCUUCUUGGAAGCUCGAGCUGGAUGGUGUCAUGCGCUGCUCACUCGAGUGGCCUGGCCUAUCUUCGCGAGGAUCCAACCAGAGACCAAGUCAUGGUGGUCAAACUCAAUGGGGCAGUACAACUUGUUUAGCUCCACCAGGAGCAUGUCAGCUCAAGACCGCAGGAAGUGGAGUAGCACCAUCUUGUUAAUGGCAAAGAAGAUGGCAGGCGUAUUUGGAGCUAGUGAGCUAUGGAAGAAGAUAAGCAACACCAAGCAUGCCCAAGUCACGAGGGAGAUCAAGGAGCUCAUCCAUGACUCAUUAGGCCACGAGUGGGGUAGUCCUAAGCCCAUCAGCGUUCCAGACGUGGUGGUGCACAAGGCGGCCAAGUCAACAAUGAUGAUGAGUAGCAGUGGCGAUGGCCGGCCGCUGGUUGAUGUGGCGACCCAAGAGGAGGACCAAGAGGCAGCACGGCGGCGACGUCUUGUGGAUACCUGCAAGAUGCUAUCUGAGUACAUGUUGUACCUGCUGGUGGAGCACCCUGACAUGUUACCCGUCAGCACCAACGUGCAGGAUGUAUUGGCGUCGCGCUCAGACUGUGUCACGGGUGCAUCCAGCAAGGACGACUUUCUUGAUAUAUUUACUAGUGGUGACUUGGACUUUCCUGACUGGAUCUUCUUGCGGGAUCACAAAGCGGUGCUGGAAGACCAAGGGGGCAUCCAGGCCGAGGUGGAAAGACUGGAGCAGGUGUGGGUGCGGAUGCUUGUGUACGCAGCCGGAAAGUGCCGGCCGGAAGAGCAUGCCCGACGGCUGAGCACUGGGGGAGAGCUCAUCACCUUGGUUUGGCUGCUCAUGGCGCAUCAGGGGCUGGGAGACGUGCAGAACAGUGUCGGUCUUAUCAGAGAUGGUAUCAGCCGACGACAUCUUUUCGAUUUUGAGGAGGAGGUGUUAAGUCGUACCAACUUGACGGAUUCUGCACCAAAGGAGGAAGAGGAGUUAACUACUGCCAACUUGACUUAA